rnacentral:tRNA from 1 species
CCCGCGAUAGCUCAGCUGGUACAGCAUCUGCUCGAUAUGCAGAGGGUCGCCGAAUCGAUUCCGGCUCGCGGUG